CGUCCAAAUCCUGCUGAGCGCUGCUCAAGCUCGCGAGGUUUAUGUAAGUUUACACAAAGUUUGUCCUGAAUUAUCCAACUCCCUGUACAAACACACGCACACCCAGCCAGGCUCUGAGAAAGCAUUAGCCCGGACCAGAGGAGGCUCACAAAUCUUCCUCCGUUAAAUUGAUGCUAUUACCUGCACUCAGCUUUGAAAGGAAGGAUCCCGACAGAGAGAGAGCUUUUUUGUUACAGAUGAACAACAUGUCCCCCCCUUUGUACCAUGAGAAGAAGGAAAAAAGGGGCACAGAGAUUGCUGCAGCCUGGACACUCAGAGAAUAAUAAUGAUUGAGUUUAUAUUCACAGUUACAACACAGGAUGUCUCCACUCUAUCCACGUCAAAGAGGAAUUCCUGCUCUAUACACAACUCCUCCAGUUUCUCCUUCUUUUCCCACAGUCCAGGAGAACAUGUUCCUUCGCCUCCAUGUUUACAACUUUGCAGCUUCCUGCUUGGUGCUGGAGAGGCCGCUCCUAUUGGUUGUUGUAAAUGGUCACACCUUUGAACAACUCAAUAUGCGUCAAGAAAAAUUAAUUGAUCCCUGUUUCUAUAAAACUUUGAAAUAGUGUCAAAUAAGACAGAUAAGCACUGGCAUAUCAUGUGUCUUUGCACUCGUAUUUUAAGAAUCUGAAGUUGUUUAUAUAAUGAAUUGUUUUCUGGACUUUACUAAAUAAUGUUUAUCGUUUCAUGUUUGAUGUAAACGAUGUUGAUGGGAUGUUGCACGGGCGAAGAGCCCAAGACAAAUUUGCCCCUUUGUGAACAAUAAAGUUCAUCUUGAAUCUUGAAGAUUAAAGACCUGCGAUGACAUCAAA